GGCGGGUCUCCCCGCAUCGCAGGGUGGUCAAUCUGGUCAGGUCCGGAAGGAAGCAGCCACAGCCAUUUGCCGCGAGUGCCGGGGUCAGGCUCGCCACU
rnacentral:SRP_RNA from 1 species